rnacentral:rRNA from 1 species
AUUGAACGCUGGCGGCAGGCCUAACACAUGCAAGUCGAGCGGAUGCAGGGAGCUUGCUCCUGGAUUCAGCGGCGGACGGGUGAGUAGUUCCUAGGAAUCUGCCUGGUUGUGGGGGAUAACGUCAGGACACGGGCGCUCAUACCGCAUACGUCCUGAGGGCGUAAGUGGGGGAUCUUCGGACCUCCCGCUAUCAGAUGAGCCUAGGUCGGAUUAGCUAGUUGGUGGGGUAAAGGCCUACCAAGGCGACGAUCCGUAGCUGGUCUGAGAGGAUGAUCAGUCACACUGGAACUGAGACACGGUCCAGACUCCUACGGGAGGCAGCAGUGGGGAAUAUUGGACAAUGGGCGAAAGCCUGAUCCAGCCAUGCCGCGUGUGUGAAGAAGGUCUUCGGAUUGUAAAGCCCUUUUGUUGGGGAAGAAGAGCAGUAAGUUAAUACCUCGCUGUUCUGACGGUACCAACAGAAUAAGCACCGGCUAACUUCGUG